GAUGAACGCUGGCGGCGUGCUUAACACAUGCAAGUCGAGCGAUGAAGUUUCCUUCGGGAAAUGGAUUAGCGGCGGACGGGUGAGUAACACGUGGGUAACCUGCCUCAUAGAGUGGAAUAGCCUUUCGAAAGGAAGAUUAAUACCGCAUAAUGUUGAAAGAUGGCAUCAUCAUUCAACCAAAGGAGCAAUCCGCUAUGAGAUGGACCCGCGGCGCAUUAGCUAGUUGGUGGGGUAACGGCCUACCAAGGCGACGAUGCGUAGCCGACCUGAGAGGGUGAUCGGCCACAUUGGGACUGAGACACGGCCCAGACUCCUACGGGAGGCAGCAGUGGGGAAUAUUGCACAAUGGGGGAAACCCUGAUGCAGCAACGCCGCGUGAGUGAUGAAGGUUUUCGGAUCGUAAAGCUCUGUCUUUGGGGAAGAUAAUGACGGUACCCAAGGAGGAAGCCACGGCUAACUACGUGCCAGCAGCCGCCGCAGUAA
rnacentral:rRNA from 1 species